rnacentral:tRNA from 1 species
GGGCCAGUGGCUCAGUUGGUAGAGCGCCUCGUUCGCAUCGAGGAGGUCGGGGGUUCGAGUCCCCCCUGGUCCACCA